UACCGUAUGGUCUAGUGGUUACGAUGUCUGGCUGAUGCUCUAAAGAACCAGGUUCGAUUCCUGGUACGGCGG
rnacentral:tRNA from 1 species